CCAUCGGUGGUUCAGUGGUAGAAUGCUCGCCUGCCACGCGGGAAGCGUGGGUUCGAUUCCCGGCCGAUGCA
rnacentral:tRNA from 1 species